UGAGAAACAUGACCUUCGGCGGGGGGAUAGCCGGCCCAACGGCCGGGUAAUACCGCGUACGACCUUUCGGGGACAUCCCUGGAUGGUGAAAGCAGCAAUGCGCCGAUGGAGUGCCUCGCGGCCUAUCAGCUAGUUGGUGAGGUAACGGCUCACCAAGGCAACGACGGGUAGCCGGCCUGAGAGGGUGACCGGCCACACUGGGACUGAGACACGGCCCAGACCUCCGUACGGGAGCAG
rnacentral:rRNA from 1 species